CAGGGUCCGCAAGGCCUCCAGAUGUCAACGCAUCCGAAACACAUGAUUGAUGUGGGAAUUCAUGCAACGUCGCUGGGAAUUUGAAACCUGGGGCUCAUCUGGAGAUCAUGGUUGGGAAGAGGAGGCAGGAGCGUCGUCUGAGCUGGCUCAUGAGGGGAGUUUCAGCGUGUCGUGUGGCCCCUUGUUACAGGGCCUUUUGCCAAGGCUGCUCUUGGAGCCUGCCAAUAGCAUCAUGAAGACUCUGCACUCCUCGCAGUGACGAUGCUACAAACCCAGAAGGAGCAACUGCCUCAUCUCUGUUUCUCAGUGU
rnacentral:lncRNA from 10 species